GGAGGUGGAAUUCCGCGUGUAGCAGUGAAAUGCGUAGAUAUGCUGGAGGAACACCGAUGGCGAAGGCAGCCUCCUGGGAUAACACUGACGCUCAUGCACGAAAGCGUGGGGAGCAAACAGGAUUAGAUACCCUGGUAGUCCACGCCCUAAACGAUGUCAACUAGCUGUUGGGGCCUUCGGGCCUUGGUAGCGCAACUAACGCGUGAAGUUGACCGCCUGGGGAGUAC
rnacentral:rRNA from 1 species